rnacentral:lncRNA from 1 species
AGAGAGAGACUGUUGACAUUAUCUUCUUGAGGUGCAGACUGUUUUUGGGCACGGCACACCAAUAAUUGGUUAGGCUUGAGUGAUGGAACAAUACUUCUUACUAAGGGAGUUCUAGCUGGAGUUGACAAUGCAUGAUGGUGCAAGAAGCAUUGUGUGGAAGCCAUUGAUCACUUAUCUUUCUCAAAGCUGCUAUUGCCCUUUUUCUUUUUCUUCUUUGGGCUUCAAACCUACUUUGUUAUUUUAUUUUUUUUUCUGCUAAAAUGGUGAUGUGGGAAUGUUUUUGGAUUUAUUUUGUGAUAUGUGAAGGAGAAUUGGUAGA